AACGAACGCUGGCGGCAGGCUUAACACAUGCAAGUCGAGCGCCCCGCAAGGGGAGCGGCAGACGGGUGAGUAACGCGUGGGAAUCUACCCAUCUCUACGGAAUAACGCGUGGAAACGUGUGCUAAUACCGUAUACGUCCUUCGGGAGAAAGAUUUAUCGGAGAUGGAUGAGCCCGCGUUGGAUUAGCUAGUUGGUGGGGUAAAGGCCUACCAAGGCGACGAUCCAUAGCUGGUCUGAGAGGAUGAUCAGCCACACCGGGACUGAGACACGGCCCAGACUCCUACGGGAGGCAGCAGUGGGGAAUAUUGGACAAUGGGCGCAAGCCUGAUCCAGCCAUGCCGCGUGAGUGAUGAAGGCCCUAGGGUUGUAAAGCUCUUUCACCGGUGUAGAUAAUGACGGUAACCGGAGAAGAAGCCCCGGCUAACUUCGUGCCAGCCGCCGCCGUAACAC
rnacentral:rRNA from 1 species